rnacentral:rRNA from 1 species
GGAUGAACGCUAGCGGCAGGCCUAAUACAUGCAAGUCGAGGGGCAGCACAGGUAGCAAUACUGGGUGGCGACCGGCAAACGGGUGCGGAACACGUACGCAACCUUCCUUUAAGCGGGGAAUAGCCCAGAGAAAUUUGGAUUAAUACCCCAUAAGAAUGUGAUCUGGCAUCAGAUAGCAUUUAAAGAUUUAUCACUUAAAGAUGGGCGUGCGUCUGAUUAGGUAGUUGGUGAGGUAACGGCUCACCAAGCCGACGAUCAGUAACUGGCGUGAGAGCGCGACCAGUCACACGGGCACUGAGACACGGGCCCGACUCCUACGGGAGGCAGCAGUAAGGAAUAUUGGUCAAUGGACGCAAGUCUGAACCAGCCAUGCCGCGUGGAGGAUGAAGGCCCUCUGGGUUGUAAACUUCUUUUAUCUGGGACGAAACACUUCUUUUCUAGGGAGCUGAC